UUGGUUAAGUAAGUAAGGGCGCACGGUGAAUGCCUUGGCACUAGGAGCCGAAGAAGGACGGGACGAACACCGAUAUGCUUCGGGGAGCCGUAAGUAAGCUUUGAUCCGAAGAUUUCCGAAUGGGGGAACCCACUGUCCGUAAUGGGACAGUACCCACACCUGAAUCCAUAGGGUGUAGGGAGGCAGACCCGGGGAACUGAAACAUCUAAGUACCCGGAGGAAGAGAAAGAAACAUUCGAUUUCCUGAGUAGCGGCGAGCGAAACGGAAAGAGCCCAAACCAAGAGAGUUUUCUCUUGGGGUUGUAGGACACACCAUAUGGAGUAAGAAAAGGACGGAGUAGAUGAAGCGGUCUGGAAAGGCCCGCCAUAGGAGGUAACAGCCCUG
rnacentral:rRNA from 1 species